AUUCCUACGGGAGGCAGCAGUGAGGAAUAUUGGUCAAUGGGCGAGAGCCUGAACCAGCCAAGUAGCGUGCAGGAUGACGGCCCUAUGGGUUGUAAACUGCUUUUAUGCGGGGAUAAAGUGCUCCACGUGUGGGGCAUUGCAGGUACCGCACGAAUAAGGACCGGCUAAUUCCGUGCCAGCAGUCGCGGUAAUACGGAAGGUCCAGGCGUUAUCCGGAUUUAUUGGGUUUAAAGGGAGCGUAGGCCGAUGGCCAAGCGUGUUGUGAAAUGUGGACGCUCAACGUCCGACUUGCAGCGCGAACUGGCCGUCUUGAGUGCGCGCAACGUUGGCGGAAUUCGUCGUGUAGCGGUGAAAUGCUUAGAUAUGACGAAGAACUCCGAUUGCGAAGGCAGCUGACGGGAGCGCAACUGACGCUGAAGCUCGAAGGUGCGGGUAUCGAACAGGAUUAGAUACCCUGGUAGUCCGCACGGUAAACGAUGGAUGCCCGCUGUGUGCCCCUGGGGUACGUGGCCAAGCGAAAGCGUUAAGCAUCCCACCUGGGGAGUACGCCGGCAACGGUGAAACUCAAAGGAAUUGACGGAAU
rnacentral:rRNA from 1 species